GGGGGUGUUUUCUGGAUUCGACAGGCGACUCCCGGUGUAUGACUACUAUCCGCAGGUGACGACUGCGUAAUAACGUCUCAGAGUAAAAUUAACUGACAAAAACGAAAACCAAACUUUAGCUUUCGCUGCCUAAAAACAGUGAGCUAAGAUCCGUCUAGCAUCACCUAUGUGCUAGGUCCGGGUCCUAUUGCAGUAGGUUACGCCCUGAGCUUCCACCUGGAGCAUAGGGGAAGAGAUUAACCAGGUCCGCCAAGGGAAGCGGUUGUUGCUGUCCGCUCCUACGGCUAAACUAAACAGACAACUAUGAUGGUAAAAGUUGUAUAACUGGCUCGUCUGGACAGGGGUUCGACUCCCCUCACCUCCAUGA
rnacentral:tmRNA from 1 species